UGUCCACGCCAUUCACCUCGCGUCAUCAUGCCCGUAGGCGGUCUACGUGCGGUUACCUCACGGGAAGAAUGGGGAGUUCUUCACCGCAAGGUGUGGUCCCAGCACCAACCACAUGGUUCCAUGUAGACCUUGAAGAAUGGCGAGGAAGGUACAGUGGUGCCAGUGGAGCCCUAGGAAGGAGAUGCAACAAGAAAUGAUGGUCCAGGAGAUGCCGGAGGAGGCUCUCUGUGGCAGAAGAGAGGCUUUCUUUGAAGAGGAUGGCUGCUGUGGGACCUGGAAGCUACCAAAGGUGUCUCCGGGAAUUCUCCAGAGGUUGCCUUAAAUGCGUCAGGCAUUAGCCCCGGUCCUCACUGGCCUAAGUUAGCCUGCCCAGGCCUCCUGAACCAUUGGUGAGAGCAUUGCCUUGUGCUGGUCAUCUAUACCAUGACUGCUUGUUCCAGGUCCCUGGGGCCUUCCUGCUGCAGAACUGGUUUUAUGGUCUACACAUCCAACUGACAGGUAACGGGCACAUGAAGAGACAGCGGAAGCAGUUCUGGGCCAACCAAAAAAGAUCUCAACCCAGGGCCCUCUCUUGCCUUCUUGCUUGCUCCCUCUGAUGGGAGCCAGCUGCCAUGUCUGAGCCACACCAGGAAGAGGCCCACAUCACAAGGAGCUGAAGAGGUGCUCCAGCCAGCAGCCCGGGAGGUGCCUGGGUCUGUGACUUUGGUUUUUGAAAACCUAACACCUGGCACAAGGAAAUUCCUUAACGAUCUCACCACAUCUGUGUCCAGACAUUGCUGA